AUUGAACGCUAGCGGGAUGCCUUACACAUGCAAGUCGAACGGAGUGGCGAACGGGUGAGUAAUGUAACGGAACGGGCCCAGUAGCGGGGGAGAACUACGAGAAAGCGUAGCUAAUACCGCAUACUAUUGGCGCGGCCGAUAUCGGAUUAGCUGGUUGGUGGGGUAACGGCUCACCAAGGAGACGAUCCGUAGCUGGUUUGAGAGGACGACCAGCCACAUUGUGACUGAGACACGGCCCCGCCUCCUACGGGAGGCAGCAUUGGGGAAUUUUGGACAAUGGGGGAAACCCUGAUCAAGCCAUCCCGCGUGGGCGAUGAAGGCCUUCGGGUUGUAAAGCACUUUUGGCAGGAAAGCGGUACCUGCAGAAUAAGCACCGGCUAGCUACGUGCCAGCCGCCGCGGUAAUAC
rnacentral:rRNA from 1 species